ACCAGAGUCAUCCCAUGAGCAAGCUUGAUUAGAGUUUGAUCAUGACAAAGUACAACCGGAGGAAGAACCGACAGGCCGGCCUCUCCUCUAAUCCUCCUUCGCUCUCCAUCUUGCUACUAUCUAGAUCUACUCUAGUUUAGAGAAGAGAGGAGAGCUCUCAUCUCUAAACCCUAGCUUUUGCUCUGUGUAUGAAUAAUGAAUAAUGAUCAAGGGGUGCCUCCUCCAGGGGCCAGGGGGUCUGGUUAUAUAGUCCCCUCAAGUGAACCUGGGCCGUCGGAUCAAAUCGACAUUGAUUGAACGGUUAUUCUUGAUCCUUUAGGUCGGUGGAGCAUAAUCCGCAAGAUUGAGCGUGAUUGGUUGAAACUCCAGGGCGGGCGCCCAAGGGGGGAGGGCGGGCGCCCUGCCCCCGGUCCCGUUCGGCCUCCCGUUCGUUUCUGUGGCUUCUGGAGUCUUCUAGAUGAUAGAAAAUUGCGCGGCACGUUAAUAUCUCUAUGUAAACCGAUGUGUGGGCCUUUCCUCCAUAUUUCCUGAUAACCCCCUACAGAAAUAAACAAACACCAAAACUCGUGGAAUUGUGUCAGAUAAAACCCUAACUCUGGGUGUUGGUUGCAUUUGGAUCCUUUUCUUUAUUUAUUUGAUGAUUAUAUUUGGUACUUAAGGACCGUCAACAACUCCCCCAUGCUUACCUCUUGCUCGUCCCUGAGCAAGGAUGGACUCAAGAGUUUCUGCAGUGGUUUUAUGCCUUAAAGGUACACAUGCAUUUAAACAAGAUCUCAUCUCUAGGUUAGGGUAAAUUGUUAUGAUUUAAACUUACUCAUAUUACCUUCCACCAUGGGGCUUGCAACACUCACUUGUGUCUUGAGCAGUUAAAAGAUAGAACGGUCAUGUCAAGCGUCAUGGCUCUUGUUCUUGGAUCAACUAUAGCUCUGGAGUUUUUGUAGAUUUUCAAAAUAAAACUCAGAGAUUCCUUGUAUGACUCUCUCAAUUCUCUCUUUUGUGGUAUUUCUGGAUCCUUACCAAGGCAGUGAUGAUAUAUGCCUUCUCUCAAAGCAUGUGAUAUUUUUGGUAUGAGGCACAGUGAUAUUGCCUUCUCUCUCACCCCACUCUAAUAAGGUUUGAUAUCUAGAGCUCAUAGGUGGGAGACAGCUAGUACAUACUUACAAGACAUUUCUUGCAUAGUCAAACCAUGGAUCCAGAGAAACAAGUCAAUAAGUCAAAUCAAGAUGUGCAUGUGUGGCGAAUGAAUGGUGUAUGGUGAUGAUGGUGAUAAUGUUGAAAACAUUGGUGAAAGUCUAAUUCUACUUUUGCUCUUUUGUGGGGAUACAUACCUUUCUUGCACUUUGAAGCUUUUUGAAGGGAAUGAGAUGCUUUAUAUUUUCUCUUUUUUUUCUUUUCUCUCAGGUGGGUAUCUUGUACCCCUAAUUCUACUGUCGGACACUUGUCCAUUUUUACCUCUCGUCUCACUUUUUCUUUUUUCUUUCGAGGUUCGGGGCACUUGCCCCCUUUUAUUUUCUCGUAUUUUUCUUCUUUUUUUUAAAGCACUCACCCUCCUGGAAUAAUGUAGCAAGUGGUAGUAACCAAAAUAGCUCGAGCAUUUAUUUCACAGGGAAUAACAGGGAUAGGAGAAUGUUUUUGGCUAUUCUCUCCCGGAUAGGAGUAGAAUAUUUUUAGGUGAAUCUGGAGAUGGAAAGGAGUGGAUGUAUGUGGAUGCGUACUUCCGGAGUAGAAGUAGCAUGUAUGAGUGAACGUGCAAGUGAAUCUUGAUUUUAUCCGCAUGACAAGCUCCUAAGGGUCUACACACCUUGACCACACUCAAUGCUCAUAAGCCGUAAAAAGUAAAUGUAUGGUUCAUAGUCUAAUAAGCAUGUAUAUGUGGCUGUGGUAGGAUUUUAAACUCUCAUCAUACAGGAACUCAUCAUGCAACAUUUUAAAGAUUUUCAAAGAUAAAAUUCUCCAGAAUUCUAGCAUCUCUAGGAACAGAUAAACAGCAGCUCAACCUUCCCAUAUCAUAUCCGUUAACGACUGAGACUUUAGAUCAAGUACUCUUCCCACAAGUUCAGGUUUAGAGCAAAUCUUAAUUCAUAACAGUCAUGCCUAAACUUGAGAGAGAUUUCACUUUUGAGAGCUAGUCAUGGCAGAGCAACUAUUCAUCAUUUCCAUGUGAGAGCUUAUCAUGAGGGUUCAUAGCAAACUUUAUUUAUUUAUUUAUUUAUUUAGCAAACUAAGCAUAGAUAUAUAUAUAUAUAUAUAAGCAUAAAUCUUUAUUUGUUAUGGUUAUGCAUCUUUUUAUUGUUUUAGUAAAGUAUAAACGCGAGUAGAAACACUUAGCUGGAUAAAUGGGGGUGCUCUCCCCCAAGCUGGAUUUUGACGUAAUUUCUUCUGAUGUAGCUAGCAGGUGGUGGAGGUGUAUUUGUAUGUCGGCAGCACCCUGACAGCGAUUAGAUGUCCUGCGUUUGCUAGUCUUCUUUGAUCCUUGAAUUCUGUGGAGCUCAAAUAGACAACAAAGCUUUGUGGAACUGGUUAAGUGUUAGCAUAACAUCUCUUAGCCUUUAUCAUGUUGAGCUUCCUCUAAUAAAUAUUACUCUCUUUGGUAGGAUCAUAAAUUUAUUUUUAUACUUUCAUUUCUAUAGGACAGGAAUAUAUUUAUUUUUGCGCCACCACAGUGAAUGUACUUAUGGGUUUUAUGCCACGAGCAUACUCAUAUGGGGCUUACUAACAUUUUUAUUUUCUUUCCAAGAUAGCAUGAUUGACUAACAAGCCAUUUAAGGAAAGUAAAUAAUUAAAGGGAAAAGGGAAUGCAGAAAGGAUAAAUAUGGAUAACUACCGAUUUUAUCUUUCGGCGAGGGUUCAAUGUUUUAAGUCUUCUGACCAAGACUUCUCACCAUGUUCAUUCUUCAGGUGCGUCAUUUGAUUCAGGUGUGGACCUUGACGUCUGCACCUCUUAAUACGGUGUCACUCAUGUUCUUCGUUUGCCCAGUAGUUCGAAGUGCGGCGUUGGCAGUAUCUUGCUCAGUGUGUUUGUGCUCGUAGAUCCAGGUCCUUCACUUGGUGGAAUCUAGGAGUUGUAAAACUCCUCCAUGUUUUGCUCGAAGUGUACCUGCUCAUAGAGACAAGGCAGAGAUCAAGUGUAUGGGCCCUGUUGGUGGAAAACACCAACAGAACCAAAAGUGUAUUUGUUCUUCUCUAACCUUAAGCAUAGUGAGCAAGACAGAGUUGAUGGAUAAUAAGUUUAUGAGUGUAGCAUUUAAAACAUUUGUCAGAUCAGAUCGCUCAACCUUAUGGAAAGAUAAUCUAUCUAUGUAUAUGUCUUUUUCUUUAUAUCUUGCCAAAGGUUGAAUGUGCAACAUUUUAGCUCGUAUGAUUAGGAGUGUGGGAUCAUGGAGGUAGUACUAGGAACAAAGGUUAAAGGACUAAACAUGCUGAAUCAGUUGGGUUGGUUAAUUUGGAGUUAUAAAUCAUACAUGUUUGUCUCUUUAUUUAUGUGAAUGCCAGAACCAAGGAGAAGCUUAUAAAAGUGAUAGUCAGAUAUCUUAAGAUGUUACCUUAAUUGAAGAGUGAUGAUACCAUCUCACCUUAUGGCAGC
rnacentral:lncRNA from 1 species